CCUACGGGAGGCAGCAGUGGGGAAUUUUGGACAAUGGGGGCAACCCUGAUCCAGCCAUUCCGCGUGAGUGAAGAAGGCCUUCGGGUUGUAAAGCUCUUUCAGCAGGAACGAAACGGUGGCCCCUAAUACGGGCUACUAAUGACGGUACCUGAAGAAGAAGCACCGNA
rnacentral:rRNA from 1 species